CCAUCCAUUCGCAGCAACCGCCGACCUCCAUUCUUCUUCUCCUUCCGUUCGCAGCAAGCCGCCGACCAUCUCCCGCCGGCCAUCUCCUUCUUCUCUUCUCCUCUCCGCUCCGUCCAAACCCAGCCUCACCGCCGCGUCUCCCCUACUGAAGCCGAACGCCCGAUAUGCCGUCUCCAUCUCCGGUUCGCGAAGCAACCUUGCAGCAGUCGUCCCGUGCGCCGAUCUGCCGUCUCCAUCUCCGGCUCGCGAAGCAACCUUGCAGCAGUCGUCCCGCGCGUCGAUCUGCCGUCUCCAUCGCCGGUUCUGUCUCCGUCGAAGCCACGGUUCUGCAACCAUCUCCGCCGGUUCUGUCUCCGUCGACCACGCUCCCCGCUCACAACCGCCGCUCCACCUGCUAUCAACGUCGGCCGACUAGUUGCUGUAACCGUUCAGAUUCGCGGUCUGUUCUCGACGGUCUCCAUCCGUGAAGCCCAGCCGCCACGUUCCCUUUGGCCGAUCGCUGACCGACCCACACUUAGGAUUUUUGCUGCGAGUUCGACAUUCGUGCGUUGAGGUGUUGGGAGUAACGUUAGGCUCCCUUACAUUCACAACCCGUUUGUGAAUUAUUGAAGGUUCAGUUCGCCAAUAUAUCGGAUUGUUUCGAGGACGUUAGUUGAUUAAGGAGCUUCCCUAACUUUGAGGCAAAGGUAAUAAAAGCGGCAAACCGGCGAGGGGCAGGAAGGAAGCGUGACUGCCAUAGGAAAUAUGUUGUUUGCUUCCGCUUAUGGGUUCUUGUGAGGUUUAAGAUGAAUUGAAAGUUUGCUUACAAACGUUUAUUGUAAAUAGUAUUGUUUUUAUGUUUUCUUAAAUGUUUGAAAUUCAGGCCUGACUUAAAGAUGUUUUUAAAUUAGCUUACGUUUUGUUUUA